GACGAACGCUGGCGGCGUGCUUAAUACAUGCAAGUCGAACGGAAAGGCCCUGCUUUUGUGGGGUGCUCGAGUGGCGAACGGGUGAGUAACACGUGAGUAACCUGCCCUUGACUUUGGGAUAACUUCAGGAAACUGGGGCUAAUACCGGAUAGGAUCUCCUGCUGCAUGGUGGGGGUUGGAAAGUUUCGGCGGUUGGGGAUGGACUCGCGGCUUAGCAGCUUGUUGGUGGGGUAGUGGCUUACCAAGGCUUUGACGGGUAGCCGGCCUGGGAGGGUGACCGGCCACAUGGGGACUGCGAGACGGCCCAGACUCCUACGGGCGGCAGCAGUGGGGAAUAUUACACAAUGGGCGGAAGCCUGAUGCAGCAACCCCGCGUGCGGGAUGAUGGCCUUCGGGUUGUAAACCGCUUUCGCCGGUGACGAAGCGUGAGUGACGGUAAUGGGUAAAGAAGCACCGGCUAACUACGUG
rnacentral:rRNA from 1 species